rnacentral:rRNA from 1 species
AGAAUGAACGUUGGCGGCGUGGAUUAGGCAUGCAAGUCGUACGGGCCGCAAGGCCAGUGGCGCAAGGGUGAGUAAGGCGACGGUAACCAACCCCAUGACUGGGUAUAGCCGCGGGAAACUGUGGGUAAUCCCCAGCGACGUCGCGACGAGGCAUCUCGUUGCGACCAAAGCUCCGGCGUCGUGGGACGGGCUGUCGUGGUAUUAGCUAGUUGGCGGGGUAACGGCCCACCAAGGCGGCGAUGCCUACCGGGCGUGCGAGCGUGGCCCGGCACACUGGGACUGAGACACUGCCCAGACUCCUACGGGAGGCUGCAGUCGAGAAUCUUCGGCAAUGGGCGCAAGCCUGACCGAGCGACGCCGCGUGGAGGACGAAGGCCUUCGGGUUGUAAACCUCUUUCAGCAGGGACGAAGCGAAAGUGACGGUACCUGCAGAGAAGCGCCGGCAACUACGUGCCAGCAGCCGC